AGGGGUAUAGUUCAGUUGGUAGAACGUCGGUCUCCAAAACCGAAUGCCGUGGGUUCGAGUCCUGCUACCCCUGCCA
rnacentral:tRNA from 2 species